GAAAAUGGAGAAGCAGCAAAGUGAAGUUGUGUUGUAUGGGACAUGGGCUAGUGCCUACUGCACGAGGGUGCGGUUGGCCCUUAAACUCAAGGGCAUAACCUAUGAGUACGUGGAGGAGGAUCUAACCAACAAAAGCGAGUCCCUACUUCACUACAACCCUGUCCACAAGAAGGUGCCUGUUUUGGUGCACAAAGGGAAGCCCGUGGCUGAAUCGCUUGUCAUUCUCGAGUAUAUUGACGAUUGCUGGAACAAUUCCCCCAAACUAUUGCCCGAGGAUCCUUACCAAAGAGCCAAAGUUCGUUUUUGGGCCAAUUUUUAUGAUCAGAAGAUCUUCCCAAGCUCACACGCUGUCGCCUUGUCCAAGGGCAAAGAGCAAGUGAACGCCAUUAAAGAGUUCGAUGAGUUGCUUGGCGCGUUUGAAAAAGGCAUCGAGAAAGAUUUCUCAAUAAAAUUUCCUUUCAACGGUGAGACCUUGGGAUUUCUUGAUAUCGUUGUUGGCACACAUGCUUGCAAUUAUCGAGCUUUUGAAGAGGCUGUGACUGUGGUUUUUGACCCAAAAAAGCAUCCAGCUUUUCUAUGGUGGGUGGCUAAGCUGAAGGACAGCCCUUUGAUUAAGGAAACUCUCCCUCCACAUGACAAGCUGGUUGCCAAAAUCAAAGAGGUGUUUUUCCAGGCUCCAAAGGCUUAAUCACUAGGAAUAUAGCAAAUAUACGAAUAAAUCUACCGUUCAGUGUACGUGUACUUUGAAAUAAACAUCUACAGAGAUCCUAUGUGAGUUAACGUC
rnacentral:misc_RNA from 1 species